rnacentral:rRNA from 1 species
CCUACGGGCGGCAGCAGUAGGGAAUUUUCGUCAAUGGGCGCAAGCCUGAACGAGCGAUGCCGCGUGAGUGAAGAAGGCCUUCGGGUCGUAAAGCUCUGUUGCGGGGGAAAAAAAGCAGCAUCAGGAAAUGGGUGCUGACUGAUGGUGCCCCGCCAGAAAGUCACGGCUAACUACGUGCCAGCAGCCGCGGUAAUACGUAGGUGGCGAGCGUUAUCCGGAAUGAUUGGGCGUAAAGGGUGCGCAGGCGGUUCUGCAAGGCUGGAGUGAAACGCAUGAGCUCAACCCAUGCAUGGCUUUGGAAACUGGAGGACUGGAGUGCAGGAGAGGGAGGUGGAACGCGAGGUGUAGCGGUAAAAUGCGUAGAUAUAUGGAAGAACACCAGUGGCGAAGGCGGCAGGCUGGCCUGUUGCUGACGCUGAGGCACGAAAGCGUGGGGAGCAAACAGGAUUAGAUACCCGAGUAGUC